rnacentral:rRNA from 1 species
ACGGCGAGUGAAGCGGCAACAGCUCAAAUUUGAAAUCUGGCUCUUUUAGAGUCCGAGUUGUAAUUUGCAGAGGGCGCUUUGGCUUUGGCAGCGGUCCAAGUUCCUUGGAACAGGACGUCACAGAGGGUGAGAAUCCCGUACGUGGUCGCUGGCUAUUGCCGUGUAAAGCCCCUUCGACGAGUCGAGUUGUUUGGGAAUGCAGCUCUAAAUGGGAGGUACAUUUCUUCUAAAGCUAAAUAUUGGCCAGAGACCGAUAGCGCACAAGUAGAGUGAUCGAAAGAUGAAAAGCACUUUGGAAAGAGAGUCAAACAGCACGUGAAAUUGUUGAAAGGGAAGCGCUUGCAGCCAGACUUGCUUACAGUUGCUCAUCCGGGUUUCUACCCGGUGCACUCUUCUGUAGGCAGGCCAGCAUCAGUUUGGGCGGUAGGAUAAAGGUCUCUGUCACGUACCUCCUUUCGGGGAGGCCUUAUAGGGGAGACGACAUACUACCAGCCUGGACUGAGGUCCGCGCAUCUGCUAGGAUGCUGGCGUAAUGGCUGUAAGCGGCCCGUCUUGA